GGGUUGUGAGGUUAAGCGACUAAGCGUACACGGUGGAUGCCCUGGCAGUCAGAGGCGAUGAAGGACGUGCUAAUCUGCGAUAAGCGUCGGUGAGGUGAUAUGAACCGUUAUAACCGGCGAUUUCCGAAUGGGGAAACCCAGUGUGUUUCGACACACUAUCAUUAACUGAAUCCAUAGGUUAAUGAGGCGAACCGGGGGAACUGAAACAUCUAAGUACCCCGAGGAAAAGAAAUCAACCGAGAUUCCCCCAGUAGCGGCGAGCGAACGGGGAGGAGCCCAGAGCCUGAAUCAGUGUGUGUGUUAGUGGAAGCGUCUGGAAAGGCGCGCGAUACAGGGUGACAGCCCCGUACACAAAAAUGCACAUGCUGUGAGCUCGAUGAGUAGGGCGGGACACGUGGUAUCCUGUCUGAAUAUGGGGGGACCAUCCUCCAAGGCUAAAUACUCCUGACUGACCGAUAGUGAACCAGUACCGUGAGGGAAAGGCGAAAAGAACCCCGGCGAGGGGAGUGAAAAAGAACCUGAAACCGUGUACGUACAAGCAGUGGGAGCCUCUUAAUGGGGUGACUGCGUACCUUUUGUAUAAUGGGUCAGCGACUUAUAUUCUGUAGCAAGGUUAACCGAAUAGGGGAGCCGAAGGGAAACCGAGUCUUAACUGGGCGUUAAGUUGCAGGGUAUAGACCCGAAACCCGGUGAUCUAGCCAUGGGCAGGUUGAAGGUUGGGUAACACUAACUGGAGGACCGAACCGACUAAUGUUGAAAAAUUAGCGGAUGACUUGUGGCUGGGGGUGAAAGGCCAAUCAAACCGGGAGAUAGCUGGUUCUCCCCGAAAGCUAUUUAGGUAGCGCCUCGUGAAUUCAUCUCCGGGGGUAGAGCACUGUUUCGGCAAGGGGGUCAUCCCGACUUACCAACCCGAUGCAAACUGCGAAUACCGGAGAAUGUUAUCACGGGAGACACACGGCGGGUGCUAACGUCCGUCGUGAAGAGGGAAACAACCCAGACCGCCAGCUAAGGUCCCAAAGUCAUGGUUAAGUGGGAAACGAUGUGGGAAGGCCCAGACAGCCAGGAUGUUGGCUUAGAAGCAGCCAUCAUUUAAAGAAAGCGUAAUAGCUCACUGGUCGAGUCGGCCUGCGCGGAAGAUGUAACGGGGCUAAACCAUGCACCGAAGCUGCGGCAGCGACGCUUAUGCGUUGUUGGGUAGGGGAGCGUUCUGUAAGC
rnacentral:rRNA from 11 species